rnacentral:rRNA from 1 species
GAUGAACGCUGGCGGCGUGCCUAAUACAUGCAAGUCGAGCGAACGGACGAGAAGCUUGCUUCUCUGAUGUUAGCGGCGGACGGGUGAGUAACUCGUGGUUAACCUACCUAUAAGACUGGGAUAACUUCGGGAAAUCGUAGCUAAUACCGGAUAAUAUUUUGAACCGCAUGGUUCAAAAGUGAAAGACGGUCUUGCUGUCACUUAUAGAUGGAUCAGCGCUGCAUUAGCUAGUUGGGAAGGUAACGGCUUACCAACGCAACGAUGGAUAGCCGACCUGAACGGGUGGUCGCCCACCCGGGAUCGGAGACACGGUCCAGACUCCGACGGGAGGCAGCGGUAGGGAAUCUUCCGCGAUGGACGAAAGCGUGACGUAGCAACGUCGCGGGAGUGAUGAAGGUCUUCUGAUCGUAAAGCGCUGUUAUUAGGAAAGAACAUAUGUGUAAGUAACUGUGCACAUCUUGACGGUACCUAAUCAGAAAGCCACGGCUAACUACGUG